rnacentral:tRNA from 1 species
GCGGGGGUAGCCAAGCAUGGUCAAAGGCGCAGCGUUGAGGGCGCUGUCCCGUAGGGGUCCGUGGGUUCGAAUCCCACCCCCCGCACCA